UUUAGGGUUUAGUGUUGAUAGUUUAGAGUUUAGUGUUGAUGGCUUAGGGUUUAGAGUUGAAGUUUAGGGUUUAGUGUUGAUGGCUUAGGGUGUAGAGUUGAAGUUUAGGGUUUAGGGUUUAGGGUUUAGAGUUGAAGUUUUAGGAUUUAGAGUUGAAGGUUUAGGGUUUAGGGUUGAAGGUUUAGGGUUGAUGUUUCGGGGUUUAGGGUUUAGAGUUGAUGUUUCAGGGUUUAGAGUUUAGGGUUUAAGAUUGAUGGUUUAGGGUUUAGGGUUCGUAUUUCAAAAAAAAAUAGGGCUUUAGGAUUGAUGAUUUAGGGUUUAGAGUUGAGUUUUAGGGUUUAGAGUUUGAAUUUCGAAAUAAUAUAAUUUGAAAAAAAAUUAAAAAAAUUAAUUUUUAUUUUUUGGAUUUUUAUUGAUUUUAAUA
rnacentral:lncRNA from 1 species